CCUGUCUGGCUUUCUCCUCUUUUUUUAGAUAUUCAGAACAAAACUUUUCUUUAAGUUUGUUCUCCAUAUUUCCUGGCCCAAUAGGGUUAAUUUAAUAUAAGUGGGUUUGGGUAUGGUGAAAUGCUUGGAUUCCUUGUAGCAGAAGUAGAGAAUCCUGCCCACAUUUUCGUCGAGAUUUGAAAAGAGCUGUCCAAGAUGAUGAACCUAUUUUAAGGAUAGAACUCAGAUAAGGUUUAAAACUUGGGUGUUUCCAGUAUGACAACUGUGCCAGUGGUAUCUUUUUUAAAUGUGGUGUGUAGUUGUGUAGACAGCAGCUUCCCUGGGUUACCAGAAGCAAAUGUUGUGUUAAACCUGCAGGAGUAGCAUAUGGGAUUUGGUAUAAAGUGAAUUGCUGCAUUCUAAGGCAAUUUGGAGGUAUGCUUUGUGGCUUUUUGUGUGUGUGAAAAAUCAGCUUUAAAAAGAAAUAUGGAGAUUUGAAGGCUUUGUAGAGAGAUUGGGAAGCCAUGAUAAUGGAGCCCACCAGUCACACUUUUUCCAUCUCUGCAUGAAACCGAAUUUCAAAGAAGUCAAUACCUCAACAGGAAGGAUCUCAAGUAUCAUUGAAGAUGGUUUUUGCAUAUGGCUGCUAUGUCUUUUCUACUGCUCAAAGCCAAAUGAUAGCUUGGUAUCAGUUGGAUCUGAAUGUAUAGGCUGACCAAACAGUUUCUCCUUAUACUUACGCUCAACUUUCAGUUGUAUUCUUCAUAAACUAAGGCUAUAGUUCAAAUGCACACAUUUGGGUUCAAUUCCCAGUGAACUCAUUGAGAGUUACUUUUGAGUUAAUGUAUGUAUCUGAUUAUGUCUUCAGUCCUGUUUUGUGUUCUUGCACACAGAAAACAUCAGCUCUUUCAACUUCCCCUUCCUUACAAUUUUCUUUGUAAAAAUUAUCAGAAUUCUCCUACUGGUUUCAAGCAGAGAUGUUUCAGGCAAAGGUGUUAAUUUCCAGUUUUGUAAAAAUCCAUGGGAUUGACUGGAGAAAGAUCAUUACAAAAGAUCAAUUGUUCACUCUCCGCCCCUACUUUUAGUGGAUUUAACCUUGGAACCAUUCCAGCUGUGUUAAUAAGCCACAGGAAGAAGCAGAGAACAUAUAUGUAUAUUUAAAGAAAAUCUUUCUUUUACCUAAUGCUGUGAUUGCUAAGUAGGAGCAGCUGCUCACUUGAAGCCAGUUUCUGUUGCUUAACACAUGACAUUAAUAACAAAGGACAAGACUUGAACUUAGUUCACAACUAGUAGUUGGUUGAUUUACAUUCAGUAGCAGGCGUUUGAUGUGGCUUUCAAGCACAAGGUCAACUCUGCUUAAUAAGAAAUAAAGUAAUACUGCAUAGUUUGACUUUGAUAUUUUGUAAUCAUCUGUAUUCCAGAAAUAUAACUUUUUUCAAAAGAGUUAAUCAAGAAAUUUGGGAAUGACAGAAGCAUCUCUCAGAUGUUUUUUUACCAGACUUUUGUGUAUAGUAAGGAGCAGCAAUGCAUUCCAUUUUUAUUCAUUCUUCUAUAAAAGUAAAACAAAAAAAGAACAAAACACCUAAAUGACUGAUAUUUUUAAAAUAAUAAAAAUGUCAGAUACAAAACAUUAAAGUGAAAAUAAUUUUUAUCCUGGUGAGUUGAAAAAAUAUUACUGUUGCAGCUGAAAACUCCAAAGUGUAUAUCAUGCCCUCUUUGGAAUGAAAAAGUGGAGUGUAAUCCUCCCCCUUCCCCAAGUAUUCCUAGUAAGACAGUUGAGAUGAUGUUCUGCAAAUUACUGAUAUUUCUGUUACCAUGACCAUAUUGAACUAGAAACUUACUGUUUAUGCUUUUUGUUCUGAGCAUUGCUUUUAAUAGCUGUGUGGAGAGGCAGGUAACAAAUUGUUGUUAUAUUGAGAAUUGCUAUGGUAAGAAAUCUUGUCUUUAAGGUUGUUUAAAUGUUCAACUUUAAAGAGAAGAUUUCUUUCCACAGCCGUUCUCAUGAGAAAAAGGAAUAAUCUUCUCUCAAUAUAAUUAUAUUUCAUUAAUUUUGUUUAAAUUUUAAACAAAGCUACUGGAAGCUGAUUAUCCUGAAAACUGGGAAUGCAGAUCAUAGGUAUGCUUUUGCCAUCUAGCUUUUUAAAAA